ACUGAACGCUGGCGGCAGGCCUAACACAUGCAAGUCGAACGGUAACAGGAAACAGCUUGCUGUUUCGCUGACGAGUGGCGGACGGGAGAGUAAUGUCUGGGAAACUGCCUGAUGGAGGGGGAUAACUACUGGAAACGGUAGCUAAUACCGCAUAACGUCGCAAGACCAAAGAGGGGGACCUUCGGGCCUCUUGCCAUCGGAUGUGCCCAGAUGGGAUUAGCUGGUUGGUGGGGUAACGGCUCACCAAGGCGACGAUCCCUAGCUGGUCUGAGAGGAUGACCAGCCACACUGGAACUGAGACACGGUCCAGACUCCUACGGGAGGCAGCGGUGGGGAAUAUUGCACAAUGGGCGCAAGCCUGAUGCAGCCAUGCCGCGUGUAUGAAGAAGGCCUUCGGGUUGUAAGUACUUUCAGCGGGGAGGAAGGGAGUAAAGUUAAUACCUUUACUCAUUGACGUUACCCGGAGAAGAAGCCCCGGCUUACUUCGUGCCAGCAGCCGCAGUAA
rnacentral:rRNA from 1 species